GAUAACAGUUCGAAAGGGCUGCUAAUACCGGAUACACUCAUGAAUCGCAAGGUUCAUGAGGAAAGGUGACCUCUCCAUGGAAGUUACUGUGUGAAGAUGAGUCUGCGUCCCAUUAGCUAGUUGGCAGGGUAAAGGCCUACCAAGGCGACGAUGGGUAGCGGGUCUGAGAGGAUGAUCCGCCACACUGGAACUGAAACACGGACCAGACUCCUACGGGAGGCAGCAGUGAGGAAUAUUGGACAAUGGGCGAAAGCCUGAUCCAGCGACGCCGCGUGAGUGAUGAAGGCCCUUGGGUCGUAAAGCUCUGUCGGAGGGGAAGAAAUGGCUAGCGGUUAAUACCCGUUAGUCUUGACGGUACCCUUAGAGGAAGCACCGGCUAACUCCGUGCCAGCAGCCGCGGUAAUACGGAGGGUGCAAGCGUUAAUCGGAAUUACUGGGCGUAAAGGGCGCGUAGGCGGCCGAUCAAGUCAGAUGUGAAAGCCCACGGCUUAACCGUGUGAAGUGCAUCUGAAACUGGUUGGCUUGGAGUAUCGGAGGGGAAAGUGGAAUUCCCGGUGUAGAGGU
rnacentral:rRNA from 1 species